CCCCCCCCCUCCCUGCUCAGCACACAUCGCGCUGUGUGCUGAGCGAGGUGGGGAGGGGGGGGAGCGCUCAUUUCACCCAGCAGUGAAAUGAGCGAUGUGC